GGGUUGUGAGGUUAAGCGACUAAGCGUACACGGUGGAUGCCCUGGCAGUCAGAGGCGAUGAAGGGCGUGCUAAUCUGCGAUAAGCGCCGGUAAGGUGAUAUGAACCGUUAUAACCGGCGAUACCCGAAUGGGGAAACCCAGUGUGACUCGUCACACUAUCAUUAACUGAAUCCAUAGGUUAAUGAGGCGAACCGGGGGAACUGAAACAUCUAAGUACCCCGAGGAAAAGAAAUCAACCGAGAUUCCCCCAGUAGCGGCGAGCGAACGGGGAGGAGCCCAGAGCCUGAAUCAGCAUGUGUGUUAGUGGAAGCGUCUGGAAAGGCGCGCGAUACAGGGUGACAGCCCCGUACACAAAAGCGCAUGUGCUGUGAGCUCGAUGAGUAGGGCGGGACACGUGGUAUCCUGUCUGAAUAUGGGGGGACCAUCCUCCAAGGCUAAAUACUCCUGACUGACCGAUAGUGAACCAGUACCGUGAGGGAAAGGCGAAAAGAACCCCGGCGAGGGGAGUGAAAAAGAACCUGAAACCGUGUACGUACAAGCAGUGGGAGCCCCACCACUAAGCCAGUGGUGAACUCCACAUACGCAUCCUUUGCUGAGGAUACGGUUAACGGAGCGAAAGCGACGUUCAACCGCAAAAGAAGCAGAGGGGGCUUAGUGGUGGGGUGACUGCGUACCUUUUGUAUAAUGGGUCAGCGACUUAUAUUCUGUAGCAAGGUUAACCGCAUAGGGGAGCCGGAGGGAAACCGAGUCUUAAUUGGGCGUUAAGUUGCAGGGUAUAGACCCGAAACCCGGUGAUCUAGCCAUGGGCAGGUUGAAGGUUGGGUAACACUAACUGGAGGACCGAACCGACUAAUGUUGAAAAAUUAGCGGAUGACCUGUGGCUGGGGGUGAAAGGCCAAUCAAACCGGGAGAUAGCUGGUUCUCCCCGAAAGCUAUUUAGGUAGCGCCUCGUGAAUUCAUCUCCGGGGGUAGAGCGCUGUUUCGGCUAGGGGGCCAUCCCGGCUUACCAACCCGAUGCAAACUGCGAAUACCGGAGAAUGUUAUCACGGGAGACACACGGCGGGUGCUAACGUCCGUCGUGAAGAGGGAAACAACCCAGACCGCCAGCUAAGGUCCCAAAGUCAUGGUUAAGUGGGAAACGAUGUGGGAAGGCCCAGACAGCCAGGAUGUUGGCUUAGAAGCAGCCAUCAUUUAAAGAAAGCGUAAUAGCUCACUGGUCGAGUCGGCCUGCGCGGAAGAUGUAACGGGGCUAAACCAUGCACCGAAGCUGCGGCAGCGACGCUGAUGCGUUGUUGGGUAGGGGAGCGUUCUGUAAGCCUGCGAAGGUGGCCUGUGAGGGUUGCUGGAGGUAUCAGAAGUGCGAAUGCUGACAUAAGUAACGAUAAAGCGGGUGAAAAGCCCGCUCGCCGGAAGACCAAGGGUUCCUGUCCAACGUUAAUCGGGGCAGGGUGAGUCGACCCCUAAGGCGAGGCCGAAAGGCGUAGUCGAUGGGAAACGGGUUAAUAUUCCCGUACUUGGUGUUACUGCGAAGGGGGGACGGAGAAGGCUAUGUUGGCCGGGCGACGGUUGUCCCGGUUUAAGCGUGUAGGUGUGUGUUCCAGGUAAAUCCGGUUCACUUUAACACUGAGGCGUGAUGACGAGGCACUACGGUGCUGAAGCAACAAAUGCCCUGCUUCCAGGAAAAGCCUCUAAGCAUCAGGUAACAUCAAAUCGUACCCCAAACCGACACAGGUGGUCAGGUAGAGAAUACCAAGGCGCUUGAGAGAACUCGGGUGAAGGAACUAGGCAAAAUGGUGCCGUAACUUCGGGAGAAGGCACGCUGACACGUAGGUGAAGUGAUUUACUCACGGAGCUGAAGUCAGUCGAAGAUACCAGCUGGCUGCAACUGUUUAUUAAAAACACAGCACUGUGCAAACACGAAAGUGGACGUAUACGGUGUGACGCCUGCCCGGUGCCGGAAGGUUAAUUGAUGGGGUCAGCGCAAGCGAAGCUCCUGAUCGAAGCCCCGGUAAACGGCGGCCGUAACUAUAACGGUCCUAAGGUAGCGAAAUUCCUUGUCGGGUAAGUUCCGACCUGCACGAAUGGCGUAAUGAUGGCCAGGCUGUCUCCACCCGAGACUCAGUGAAAUUGAACUCGCUGUGAAGAUGCAGUGUACCCGCGGCAAGACGGAAAGACCCCGUGAACCUUUACUAUAGCUUGACACUGAACAUUGAGCCUUGAUGUGUAGGAUAGGUGGGAGGCUUUGAAGCGUGGACGCCAGUCUGCGUGGAGCCGACCUUGAAAUACCACCCUUUAAUGUUUGAUGUUCUAACGUGGACCCGUGAUCCGGGUUGCGGACAGUGUCUGGUGGGUAGUUUGACUGGGGCGGUCUCCUCCUAAAGAGUAACGGAGGAGCACGAAGGUUGGCUAAUCCUGGUCGGACAUCAGGAGGUUAGUGCAAUGGCAUAAGCCAGCUUGACUGCGAGCGUGACGGCGCGAGCAGGUGCGAAAGCAGGUCAUAGUGAUCCGGUGGUUCUGAAUGGAAGGGCCAUCGCUCAACGGAUAAAAGGUACUCCGGGGAUAACAGGCUGAUACCGCCCAAGAGUUCAUAUCGACGGCGGUGUUUGGCACCUCGAUGUCGGCUCAUCACAUCCUGGGGCUGAAGUAGGUCCCAAGGGUAUGGCUGUUCGCCAUUUAAAGUGGUACGCGAGCUGGGUUUAGAACGUCGUGAGACAGUUCGGUCCCUAUCUGCCGUGGGCGCUGGAGAACUGAGGGGGGCUGCUCCUAGUACGAGAGGACCGGAGUGGACGCAUCACUGGUGUUCGGGUUGUCAUGCCAAUGGCACUGCCCGGUAGCUAAAUGCGGAAGAGAUAAGUGCUGAAAGCAUCUAAGCACGAAACUUGCCCCGAGAUGAGUUCUCCCUGAGACUUAGAGUCUCCUGAAGGAACGUUGAAGACGACGACGUUGAUAGGCCGGGUGUGUAAGCGCAGCGAUGCGUUGAGCUAACCGGUACUAAUGAACCGUGAGGCUUAACCUUACAACGCCGAAG
rnacentral:rRNA from 1 species